UACAGAGGGUGCGAGCGUUGUUCGGAAUUAUUGGGCGUAAAGGGCGCGUAGGCGGACGGUCAAGUCGGGGGUGAAAUCUUUCAGCUUAACUGGAAAAGUGCCUCCGAUACUGAUCGUCUCGAGGGAGGUAGGGGCCAUGUGGAACUUUCCGGUGGAGCGGUGAAAUGCGUAGAUAUCGGAAGGAACGCCGGUGGCGAAAGCGACGUGCCUGGACCUCUUCGACGCUGAGGCGCGAAAGCCAGGGAGCAAACGGG
rnacentral:rRNA from 1 species